rnacentral:rRNA from 1 species
UAGGGAAUCUUCCGCAAUGGACGCAAGUCUGACGGAGCAACGCCGCGUGAGUGAAGAAGGAUUUCGGUUCGUAAAACUCUGUUGUUAGAGAAGAACAGCGCAUAGAGUAACUGUUAUGCGUGUGACGGUAUCUAACCAGAAAGCCACGGCUAACUACGUGCCAGCAGCCGCGGUAAUACGUAGGGCGCAAGCGUUAUCCGGAAUUAUUGGGCGUAAAGAGCUUGUAGGCGGUUCGUCGCGUCUGGUGUGAAAGCCCAUCGCUUAACGGUGGGUUUGCGCCGGGUACGGGCGGGCUAGAGUGCAGUAGGGGAGACUGGAAUUCCCGGUGUAACGGUGGAAUGUGUAGAUAUCGGGAAGAACACCAAUGGCGAAGGCAGGUCUCUGGGCUGUUACUGACGCUGAGAAGCGAAAGCGUGGGGAGCGAACAGG